rnacentral:rRNA from 1 species
UUAAAUUGAAGAGUUUGAUCAUGGCUCAGAUUGAACGCUGGCGGCAGGCCUAACACAUGCAAGUCGAACGGUAACAGGAAACAGCUUGCUGUUUCGCUGACGAGUGGCGGACGGGUGAGUAAUGUCUGGGAAACUGCCUGAUGGAGGGGGAUAACUACUGGAAACGGUAGCUAAUACCGCAUAACGUCGCAAGACCAAAGAGGGGGACCUUCGGGGCUCUU